AUUGAACGCUGGCGGCAGGCUUAACACAUGCAAGUCGAGCGAGCGGCGGACGGGUGAGUAAUGUCUGGGAAACUGCGUGAUGGAGGGAGACAAAUAGUGGAAGCUGUAGCUAACAGCGCAUACUAUCAGGUGCGCACAGAUGGGAUUAGCGAGUAGGUGGGGUAAUGGCACACCUAGGCGACGAUCCCUAGCUGGUCUGAGAGGAUGACCAGCCACACUGGAACUGAGACACGGUCCAGACUCCUACGGGAGGCAGCAGUGGGGAAUAUUGCACAAUGGGCGCAAGCCUGAUGCAGCCAUGCCGCGUGUGUGAAGAAGGCCUUCGGGUUGUAAAGCACUUUCAGCGGGGAGGCGUUACCCGCAGAAGAAGCACCGGCUAACUCCGUGCCAGCAGCCGCGGUAAUUC
rnacentral:rRNA from 1 species